AUGGCAGCAGCUUCCGUCGGCGCCACGGCAUCGCGAUUGCCGCGACCAAGCCACGAUCACUCCCUGGAAUUCUCACCCGGGGCUUCUUCCUCAUCAUCCUCACGCGCCGCGGACGCGCGGCCGCCGUCGUCGUGUGAUGGCGGCGCGGAGGAGGACGUGCCCGACCUGGACUUCCCGUGGGUCGCGGCGGCCGAGGCGGAGUCGAGGCUGGAGGAGGCCGCGAUCGCCGCGGCUGCGGCAGGACUCAACCUCUGCGCCGAGGACGAGGCAGAGGCGGAGGAGAUACGUGACAACCCGCAGCGGCAGGACGAUGAGCUGAUGGCACUAGAAGCAAUAUAUGGAGAUGACCUUGUUGAAUUUAAAAGCAGAGGAGGGCUCCGUUAUUUCCAGAUUUACAUACGUUACGAUCUGCCUGAUGGUGCUGAAGUGUGCGCUAAGCUUUUUUCCCUUGGUGAAAACUCAAAACAUGGAGGAUGUCCUGAUGGUGGUAACGAAGACCCUCAAAAUAGACCAGAUGAAUUCUCUUACACUAGCAACCUUGAGUACUUGCCUCCCUUGUUGUUGACAUGCUUACUUCCAAAAUCAUAUCCUAGCAAGGACCCACCAUAUUUCACUCUCACCGCUAAAUGGAUGGAUGGGCAUAAUGUUUCUCAACUCUGUGAGAUGCUUGAUUCCAUCUGGACAGAGCUGCCGGGGCAGGAAGUGGUAUAUCAGUGGGUUGAGUGGAUACACAAUUCUUCGUUGCCACAUCUCUGGCUUGAUGGCAAAAUAAUGUUAGGCCAAGACACCCCAACACCCAAAGUAGAUAUGCGUGCAAUCUCAAGAAGGGUCUCAUUGGAGUCUGUGAUCCCUUCAAUGCUCAGCUACUGUAGUAAGAAGCAUUACCAAGCUUUUCUUGAGGAUCUCCAUAUGUGCAUGAUAUGCCUCAACCAGAGCAUAGGUUCGAACUUCAUCAAGCUUCCAUGCCAGCACUUGUUUUGUGUGAAGUGCAUGGAGACAUUGUGCAGAAUGCAUGUGAAGGAAGGGAGUGUGUUCCAGUUGGUAUGCCCUGACACCAAGUGCAAUGCUUCCAUUCCACAACAUGUCUUAAAGCGGCUUCUUUGCGAAGAAGAAUUUGAACACUGGGAUAGGCUUGCUCUUGAGAAAGCUUUGGACUCGAUGGCAGAUGUAGUUUUCUGCCCAAAGUGCGUAAUUGGUUGCAUGGAAGACGAGGAUAACACUGCGCAGUGUCCGAAGUGUUCCUUCAUCUUCUGCUCGUUUUGUAAGGAGCUCUGGCAUCCAGGGAAGGAGUGCCUAACUCCAGAGCAAAAAAUCCAGCACCGGAAGGCAUCGGGUAGGAUGAGUGAGAGGGAGAUGGCGCAGGAACUGCUGAACAUUAAAGAACUAUAUAAAGAUGUUCGGUUAUGUCCCCAUUGUCGGAUGGCCAUCAGCAAAACUGCAGGCUGCAACAAAAUGACGUGCGUCAGCUGUGGGAAAUACUUUUGCUUCCGAUGUGGCAAGCCAGUCAAUGGCUACGAUCAUUUCAAGGAUUGCAAGCUCUUUGAGGCUUGGGAUAUUGCAGAAUGGGAGAGAGAAAUGGACCAAAUACAAAUAGGAAACCAGAUACGAGCCCAGCAGAAGCCAUUAGGUGGCAUCUUAAGAUGCCCAAAAUGCGGUGAGAGAAAUUUCAAGGAUGACGAGAAAUAUCUAUUUUGUUGGGCGUGCCGAGCCAGCUAUUGUCAACUCUGCAAACGGGUGGUCGAUAAUAAGAGGAUGAAGAGCGAGCAUUGGGGAUCAAUUGAGUGUCUGGGGCUUGAUAAAUUCUAG
rnacentral:rRNA from 1 species